GAACAUGAAACAUCACAGAUCCAACUUACAACAGGACAGAACUAAACUUAUUUAAUAGGACAGAGAGACCAGAUUAAAUUGAAACACUACAUCGUUCAAUUUUUCCCUCGCAUGGAAAUACAUCAAAGGUACAGUACAUCCUUCAAAUGUUCCCUCACAUGGAAAUACAUCAAAGGUACAGUACAUCCUUCAAAUGUUCCCUCACAUGGAAAUACAUCAAAGGUACAGUACAUCCUUCAAAUGUUCCCUCACAUGGAAAUACAUCAAAGAUACUAAGCUGGGAUAGCAUCAGCCUCAUUGUCACAUGCACUCUCUCUAUCUGUCCACAUUUGCUGAGCGAUUAAAUCUCGCUUGGCAGCCCACUCACGUAUGUCAGCCUCUUGAUCACGAACCCGCCCAGUACUCCUAGGGAGAUUGGCAUACCAUGUCGCCUCAUCCACAACAUAAUCAUCUGGACCAUUUUCUAAUAUCCAAUUGUGCAAAGCACAACAAGCAACUACCACUUUAAUCUGAGAUUUCAAAGGUAUGAAGGGCCUUUGAGUAAGAAUCUUGAAGCGACUCUUAAGAGUCCCAAAUGCCCGUUCAACUGUGGUCCUAAGUGAUGAAUGGCGGUGGUUGAACAAUUCUUUUGGGGUAGUUGGGUCACGGUCUCCAGCAAAUUCGUUUAGGUGGUAGCGCACACCACGAUAAGGAGGCAAUAUCCCUGGCCUCGCAGCAUACCCAGCAUCAGCCAAGAAAUAUUUCCCUACAGCCAUGUUGUAUUAACAAUGAGUUAAAGUCAAGUUGGCACAACACAGUGACAAACAUGUAUGUUACGUUGUAUAUGUACCUUCGGGUAUUUUUAAUCCCCCUGGACGUGUGAGGGCAUCUUUUAGCACAAGAGAAUCAUGG
rnacentral:lncRNA from 1 species